UACAGAGGGGGCAAGCGUUAUUCGGAAUUAUUGGGCGUAAAGGGCGCGUAGGCGGCCUGGCAAGUGGAAGGUGAAAUCCCUCGGCUUAACCGAGGAACUGCCCUCCAAACUGCUUGGCUUGAGUCCGGGAGAGGUGAGUGGAAUUCCCAGUGUAGCGGUGAAAUGCGUAGAUAUUGGGAGGAACACCAGUGGCGAAGGCGGCUCACUGGACACGUAUUGACGCUGAGGUGCGAAAGCGUGGGGAGCAAACAGG
rnacentral:rRNA from 1 species